GGGCGUAAGCGCACGCAGGCGGUUUGUUAAGCUAGAUGUGAAAGCCCCGGGCUCAACCUGGGACGGUCAUUUAGAACUGGCAGACUAGAGUCUUGGAGAGGGGAGUGGAAUUCCAGGUGUAGCGGUGAAAUGCGUAGAUAUCUGGAGGAACAUCAGUGGCGAAGGCGACUCCCUGGCCAAAGACUGACGCUCAUGUGCGAAAGUGUGGGUAGCGAACAGGAUUAGAUACCCUGGUAGUCCACACCGUAAACGCUGUCUACUAGCUGUUUGUG
rnacentral:rRNA from 1 species